GAAGAUACAUUUUUUCUUUGUAGAGAUACAUAAUUAGUUUCUGAUAUAUUUCUUCCAUUUUAGUUCUGUCGAGAUACAUAGUUAGAUUAUUUAUCCAUUAUGUGAGGACAAUGUGGAAAAUAUUGAUGAUAUGGUUGGGCUAUCAACGAAAUGCUGGCACCUGGAAAUCAGAAGUACUGCGGCUAUGCAAAGGAUUAAGAAGGAAUAC
rnacentral:lncRNA from 1 species